GGGCUGUUCGUCUAAUUGGAUAAGACAUCAUAAUUCUAGUGUGAUUGAUGCAGGUUCGAAUCCUGUGCAGCCUGCCA
rnacentral:tRNA from 1 species